AGUGAACGCUGGCGGUAGGCCUAACACAUGCAAGUCGAACGGCAGCACAGUAAGAUCUUGCUCUUACGGGUGGCGAGUGGCGGACGGGUGAGGAAUACAUCGUAAUCUACUUUUUCGUGGGGGAUAACGUAGGGAAACUUACUCUAAUACCGCAUACGACCUACGGGUGAAAGCAGGGGAUCUUCGGACCUUGCGCGAUUGAAUUAGCCGAUGUCGGAUUAGCUAGUUGGCGGGGUAAAGGCCCACCAAGGCGACGAUCCGUAGCUGGUCUGAGAGGAUGAUCAGCCACACUGGAACUGAGACACGGUCCAGACUCCUACGGGAGGCAGCAGGGGGGAAUAUUGGACAAUGGGCGCAAGCCUGAGCCAGCCAUACCGCGUGGGUGAAGAAGGCCUUCGGGUUGUAAAGCCCUUUUGUUGGGAAAGAAAAGCAGCAGGUUAAUACCCCGCUGUUCUGACGGUACCCAAAGAAUAAGCACCGGCUAACUGCGU
rnacentral:rRNA from 1 species